rnacentral:rRNA from 1 species
UGGGGAAUAUUGGACAAUGGGCGAAAGCCUGAUCCAGCCAUGCCGCGUGUGUGAAGAAGGUCUUCGGAUGGUAAAGCAUUUUAAGUUGGGAGGAAGGGCAGUAAGCGAAUACCUUGCUGUUUUGACGUUACCGACAGAAUAAGCACCGGCUAACUGUGUGCCAGCAGCCGCGGUAAUACAGAGGGUGCAAGCGUUAAUCGGAAUUACUGGGCGUAAAGCGCGCGUAGGUGGUUCGUUAAGUUGAAUGUGAAAGCCCCGGGCUCAACCUGGGAACUGCCUCCAAAACUGGCGAGCUAGAAUAGGGCAGAGGGUGGUGGAAUUUCCUGUGUAGCGGUGAAAUGCGUAGAUAUAGGAAGGAACACCAGUGGCGAAGGCGACCACCUGGGCUCAUACUGACACUGAGGUGCGAAAGCGUGGGGAGCAAACAGG